rnacentral:rRNA from 1 species
ACAAAGGGUAGCAAGUUCGCGAGGACAAGCAAAUCCCAUAAACCGUGGCUCAGUUCAGAUCGUAGGCUGCAACUCGCCUACGUGAAGGAGGAAUCGCUAGUAAUCGCAGGUCAGCAUACUGCGGUGAAUACGUUCCCGGGCCUUGUACACACCGCCCGUCACACCAUGGAAGUUGGCCACGCCCGAAGCCGUUACUCCAACCCUUGUGGAGGAGGACGUCGAAGGUGGGGCUGAUGACUGGGGUGAAGUCGUAACAAGGUAUCCGUACCGGAAGGUGCGGAUGGAUCACCUCCUAAC